rnacentral:rRNA from 1 species
UGGUGGCGAUAGCGAGAAGGAUACACCUGUAACCAUGCCGAACACAGAAGUUAAGCUUCUUAGCGCCGAUUGUAGUGA